UGAGUUUGACACUGAUUGGUCUUCAGAGGCGAGAAAAAAAGAAACAUUUACUUGUCUGGAAAUUCUCUGACUCACGGUCUCUCUGUGAAGGAAAACAGCAGACCAUUCCAGAUCAGCGCAGCCUGUGGUGCCCACUCAAAGUGCAGAAGAAAUUGCUCUUCACUGUUGAAGGCCACGGAAGUUUUGUGAUCCUUUGUCACUGCAGCACAAAGCCGGCUAAUAAAGAUCAAAGAUGAUUUGGUUUGGAUUCAGCUUCUCAGUAGGCAUCACCAUGUAUCAGGAAAGAGCAAGAAGGAGCAGAGGAGUGUGGGGAGCGGCGGAAGCUGGAGAUGGAUGCUGUAUGGGACUGGACAAGGCCAGCCCCAAGAACACAAACACCUGAGACAAACCACGUAGAUAAGCUAUGAGGAGAUGGAAACACAUCUCACUUCAUACCUUCUGUGGUGGAUUGGUAACUGGUGGUCCCCUUGUAACACCAGCUGAACUGAAUCAGUGUGGUGCUGAGUGUGGAUGGCCCACGUGAGGAUUGCUACCAACAUAAAAAGGAGACCUGGAGAGGAAGAGUGUGCUGCUGGCUCUCCUGUUGCUGCUAAUUUUCCUGGAGGGGCUUGUUGAGCUUCUUUCCUGAUAUGAACUUGGCUGUUCUCAUCAUCAGAGGACUUGGGACCUUGUUUUUCACUGUGGAUGGCUGCAGUUCUCUUUGGGGGAGCUCUGGUCCUAACUUUGAGCAUUGCUUCCUGGUUUCAGUGCGGAACCCUCAACUUCCUGGACAAACCCUUCAUCCCAGUGGCACAAACUUUCUGGCUGCCACCACUGACUUUGGGCCUUGCUCGCACAGAUCCAUGAAACAGACUUUCAUGAGUCCUUGUUGUGGGGUGUACCGGCCUCCACUUAGACUUAUGGGGGGCAUUGCUAUGGGUUGUAGGUCUUCAGCUGGACUCAUGCAGAAUGUUGCCACAGGAUCCAGGCCCUCAGAUGGAUUCUUUGUAUCUUUGUGUGGACAGAUUUCCUGUGCUUUCUUUUGUAUUUGACUGGUUGAUCGUUAUAAAAUAAUACUGUAAAUUAUGUCUCCUGUAUGUAGUCGUUUUCCUUGUAAUUCCUGAAUAUAACACCUUCGUACUUCUUUCUGUUUCUUUACUGCAUUUGGGCAUUGUUUAUUUCCCAGUAGUUAUAGAAAUGCUUUGUUAUUUUUAAACAUUGGAUUACAUUUUUCUUUAUGGCAAUCUUAGAUUUGCUCCAAUAGUGGUUAGUUGAGGGGGAAAUAUGUUACAAGACGCAUGGCCUUAUUUGUGUAUUUCAUACCUAAAUGAGUUUUAUGUGUAGAAUAAAACUUUAGGUGUGAAACUUCUAGAUUAGAAUAUGUGCUUUAAACAUUUAUUAACGUUAAUAAGUAGCUGUUAAUAACAGCUGUUCAGCUGUUUUCAAAUUCUUCUUCAUGGAAUUUGUAUAAUUGUUUUUUAUUUUAAGAAGAAAAAAGUAAAACAAUUUCAAAACAAGAUAUUAGGAGACUAACAUAAUUAAUACAUUGCAUAUUAUUAUCUUCAGAGUAAUUACUCAGGGUACAAGAUAUGGGCAUAUUUUCCAAACAAUAUUAGCACAAAUCUUACUUUUCAAUGAACUAAGAGAAACUCACAGUAUAACUUUCUUAACUAUCUUGCAUAUAUAUUUUUUUCUCUUCUUUCUCUUCUUCAUCACAGUUUCUCUUUUCUUUUAAACAUCUUCCCAGUUCACAGUAUCUGUUGUUCAUUUAGAGUUUAUUUACUAAUUCGACUUCUCACACUGGUGAGACUAUAUGAUGUUUACACAUACAUGUCUGAUUUAUUUCACUUAACAGAAUUGUCUCAAGUCUCAUACUUUUAACUAUAAAAGUCUCAAGCU